rnacentral:rRNA from 1 species
AUGGCCACAAUGUACGUGCGCCCACUGCUCCUCCUCCUCCUCUUCGCCCCCUUGCUGCGGACGCCGUCUUCUUCCUCGCUCCAAGGCGAGUCCAGCGACCGGGAAGCGCUGCUGGCUUUCAAGGAGGGGCUGUCCGACCGCUCAGGCUCGCUGAGCUCGUGGAGCAGCACGAACGCCGACCACUGCCGGUGGGCCGGCGUCGCGUGCAGCCGCCGCCACCCAGGCAGGGUGGUGUCCCUGUCUCUGCCCUCCAAAGACCUUGUAGGCAGCAUCUCUCCGGCGAUCGGUAACCUCACUUUUCUUCGGACUCUGCAGCUCGGUUCCAACGUGCUUUCCGGGGAGAUACCGCACACCAUCGGGCGGCUACGUCGUCUGCGCCACCUGAGCUUAGUGAACAACUCCAUCGGUGGCGAGAUUCCUCAGGAGCUCUGCAACUGUUCCAACCUUGUGUCCAUGACCCUGGGUAAGAACCAACUGCAGGGGGAGAUCCCUCCUGCUCUUGGGUCAUUGUCUCAGCUGCAACUCUUCUAUCUUACCACUAACAAUGUGGUAGGAGGUGUCCCGCCGUCGUUCGGCAACCUGUCCUCGCUUGCGAGGCUAUCACUCUACGAAAACAAAAUGGAAGGGCCCAUACCCGAGGGCCUUUCCCGCCUUCCGCAUCUCCAGUUCAUCCAAGUGGCCAGGAACAAUCUCUCCGGCACAAUUCCGCUGCUCUUCUUCAACAUGUCAUCUCUUCAGUAUCUUGGGUUUGGGUCCAACAAACUGCAAGGCAGCCUACCACCUGAUGACGCUGUCAACCUCCCGAUUCUCGAGGAGCUCCAUUUGGGCAACAAUCACCUGUCCGGGAGGAUCCCAAGUUCCUUUGCCAAUUCCACAAGGAUGCAACUACUAAGCCUUGCCCGUAACAACUUCCACGGGAGGGUAGCCCCCAAUAUCGGGAAGCUAUGCCCUGUUCGUGUUGAGUUGGGAAGCAACAGGCUGCAAGCCGAUGAUGCUGAGGGCUGGGAGUUCCUGAGAUUUUUCACAAACUGCACCGGUCUACAAUUGAUGGAUCUCAACGAAAACGACCUAGGAGGAGUGCUUCCAGGUUAUGUAGCUAACUUUUCAAGGCAGAUCCAGUGGCUAAGCAUGGCAGGAAACAGAAUCACUGGGACGAUCCCCUCAGGUAUCGGAAAUCUUGUCAACCUCAACGACCUAGAGUUAGGGGGGAACAAUCUGCAUGGUCCUAUUCCAGAGGAGAUUGGGAGACUGAAGAACCUGCAAACGUUGUUGCUUCAACAGAAUGACCUCUCCGGACAUUUACCAUCUUCGUUAGGCAACCUCACACUGCUGCAGAAUUUUUCCUUGUCGAACAACAGAAUCGACGGCCCCAUUCCAAAAAGCCUCGGAAACUUGCAGCAGUUACCUAGCCUAGACUUAUCCUCUAAUCUACUUACUGGGGUUAUCCCUGAUGAGAUCUUUAGCCUUCCUUUCUUGACAAAUUUUCUAUCUUUGUCCAAUAACUAUUUGUCAGGCCCCCUCCCUCGACAAGUUGGAAAGCUGAAAAAUAUUGCAAGUUUGGAUCUGUCAAAAAACAACUUGUCAGGAGAAAUACCAGGUACACUAGGCGAUUGCGCAAGCUUAGUGUACCUAGCUUUGGAUGGUAAUUCCUUCACAGGGAGUAUUCCCUCUUCACUUGACCUUUCCUUUAACCAUCUGGAUGGUGAGGUGCCUUCAAGCGGUGUGUUUGCAAACAUGAGUCGAUUCUCACUGAUUGGUAACAAUGGGCUUUGUGGUGGCAUUCCAGAGCUGAAAUUGCCUCCAUGUCAGGUAAAGACACAUAAGCAGGGACAGAAAUUGCUGCUUAGUAUUCUGCUUCCAGUUGCCGGCAUUGCUAUAUGCUUUUGUCUGUUAGUCUCUGCACUUUUUAUGUUCAAGCGGAAAAUAACAGUGGGCAGGAUGAAAUUUGCUGGCCUCGGUGUGUUGGGUGAAAAUUAUCCCAGAGUUUCAUACUUUGAAAUGUUUGAAGCCACAGAUGGAUUUGCACCUGCCAAACUGAUAGGUGCAGGAAAAUAUGGUUCCGUGUAUAAAGGAAACAUGUCUAUUCCAUCGGUUAGGAAUGGUGCUGUAGCCGUGAAAGUGUUCAGUCUUCACCAAACUGGUUUUUCUAGAAAUUUCUUGGCAGAAUGUACAGCUCUCAGACGAGUUAAACAUCGGAACUUGAUAAACAUCAUCACUUGCUGCUCUAGCAUUGACCCCAAUGGCAAUGACUUCCGAGCCCUUGUGUUCGAGUUCAUGCCUAACUUUAGCCUUGACAGAUGGUUGCAUCCAACAACAGAUGAGCAGUGGCACAAGUUGAGUAUUGUCCAGCUGCUGAACAUAGCGGUCGAUGUUGCAGAUGCGCUAGACUAUCUUCACAAUAAUAGUCGGCCAUCAGUAAUCCACUGCGAUUUGAAGCCGAGCAACAUCCUCCUUGGCAGUGACUGGACUGCCAAGGUUGCUGAUUUUGGGCUUUCAAAGCUGGUUGGUGAAUACACAGGUAUAUCCGCAUUCAAUUCCGGGAGCUCCGUCGGGAUAAGAGGAACUACAGGAUAUAUUGCUCCAGAAUAUGGAUUAGGGGGGCAAGUAUCAGUCGCCGGUGAUGCUUACAGCUUUGGGAUCACUCUGCGGGAGAUGUUCACAGGAAGGGCACCAACUGAUGAUAUGUUCAGAGAUGGGUUGAGUCUGCACUUGUUUGCUGAGAUGGCAUGUCCUGGCAGGAUUUCAGAAAUCAUCGACCAGGCUCUGUUACAGGUGCAUCCAUAUGACGAUGGUGAUGCAGGGUUGGAUAAUGCAUUAGCUUGCUUAGCUUCUGUUGUAAGAAUCGGAAUCUUGUGCUCAAAGGAAACACCAUCUGAGAGAAUGAACAUGAAAAAUGCUGCCGCCGAACUGCAUAAAAUCAGGGGCGCAGCAAUG